CCUACGGGUGGCAGCAGUGGGGGAUAUUGCACAAUGGGGGAAACCCUGAUGCAGCGACGCCGCGUGAGUGAAGAAGUAUUUCGGUAUGUAAAGCUCUAUCAGCAGGGAAGAAAAUGACAGUACCUGACCAAGAAGCUCCGGCUAACUACGUGCAAGCAGCCGCGGUAAGACGCAGGGGGCAAGCGUUAUCCGGAUUUACUGGGCGUAAAGGGAGCGUAGGCGGUUGCGUAAGUCUGUUGUGAAAGCGUGGGGCCCAACCGCAAGAUGGCAUUGGAAACUGGGUAACUGGAGUGCAGGAGGGGCAGGCGGAAUUCGUGGUGUAGCGGUGAAAUGCGUAGAUAUCAGGAAGAACACCGAUGGCGAAGGCAGCUUGCUGGACUGUAACUGACGUUGAGGCUCGAAAGGGUGGGUAGCAAACAGGAUUAGAUACCCGGGUAGUC
rnacentral:rRNA from 1 species